rnacentral:tRNA from 1 species
GGUUAUUUAGCUUAUAAUAAUGUAAAGCUUAUAUUUUGAAAAUAUAAGAAAGAGAAAUUUAAUAACCU